rnacentral:lncRNA from 1 species
CUGACACAACAGCAGACUGACUGUUUUUAAGUUCCGAUUAGACACUAGUGUUGAGAUGUCUGUCUGUCAUGAUAGCAUGUACUGGGUCGGGGCCAGUACCAGAUAAGAACAUUAAACUAUAAUCCAUAAACAUAAGCAUAACAACCGAGACCUAAUGGUGCUGUGACAGCAAUGCUGUGAUUGAGUUUGAGACAGUGAAAAUACAUAUGGUAUGUUGUAUCUGAACAGGUUAGCUUACGAGCUAAAGUUACUUAGCACAGAUGAAAGUUAAAACAAAGACGUUUAGCACACAACCAUCGUCACAUGAGAAAUCCAACGCUAUGACUCUCCACAAGUUGUCCUUCAGGUCGUUAUCUUUGUAAUAUUUGUGUCUUUUAUCAAAAAGCACUCUGUUCUCCGACACGUAAAUAAUCAGCCGGUCGGCCAUGUUGGAUAUACCGGUGAAUCAGAAGUCGCAACAACACGAAAUCUGAUUGGUCAGAAGUGGACACACAGUAUAAGAAACUUUAGAAAGAUUGACCAUGAUCCGAAAAAAUAAAUGCCGCAAUAUCGCAGGACGGGAAAACGUCGCUGAUGUGAACGCUUGUCAAAAAAAAAAUAUUGACGUCCGAAAUAAUCGCACGUAAAAAUGGUCCCGGUGUGAAAGGACCUUAAGACUGGUUUGUGCUCAAGUCCUCUUUUUUCUGUGCAGCUCGAUUUUCAUGUUUUCUAUGACUGACACUUGAUACAGCCUAUGGGUGUACAAAGACUGCGUAGCUUACCCAGGGGAUACGCUAUUUGAGCCGAGCGUCAUCACAGUGACUCUCAGUGACUCUCCUGCUUAAUGCGUACAACGCUGCUGCGCAAUGUUGGUUUCAGGAAGUGGAGAAAAAAAAAAGGAAUUACCGAGAGCUUUUUGGCUUCAAAUCGGUAUACUGGCGGAAGGCGGAACCAAGUUGUCCAUAGUAUAUACAGUCUAUGAUUUUGACACUUUAUAGCAUUUUUAUUUGUUUUUGUUUACUUUAGCUGCUCAUCUGAGGGCUUCUGUACUGUCCUGCAUCCAAACCAACACCUGUCUCCAUGAUUUCUUCUUUUAGCAACCUUUAAAAAACCAGUGAAGGUUUUCACAAACAGACCUGAAACAGCUUGUGAAUGCCUCUGUGAAGGCUCUUUUAAAUCACAAUUUUAAAAAAGUAAAGUGACACAUGUUCCUGAGCCGUGCUAACCCGGCUCUUUCAGCAUUGUACUUGCGGCAGCAGAGGUCAGGAUGCUGCUGUGAUUUAAUUAUUCUCUGUGAUAAAGGAGCUGCUGGUGAUUCAGUUUAAAAAAAAAAAAAAAGCCUGCAGCGAUGAGAGAGACGGCGCGCUGAAAAAAAAAUCCGGGAUAAAAAGAAAACGAAGAAGUCCAAUUUCAGAUAUCAGACUCAUUAUCCAGAGCAAAGUUAUAAUUAAGAGGCACUUUCAGAAAAACGCUGCAGGGAACAUUAUCAGAGCCCCGUACAGUGAGGAGUGGUUUGCAUGUUCCUGUGUUUCUGAGAGUAAUUACACUUCUCAGGGCUCGGGCUGGCGAUAAUAAAGUCCUGACGGUCUUUUACGCUCGAAUCGAGGAGAAAGUCGACCCUCCUCCCUGCACCAUGCCGCUGCAAAGACACCCAAGGUCACCGAGAUAAAAUAAAUCAGUUAAAGAUCAAAUAGGUCCUGGAGAUUAAAAGAAAAAAAAAAAGAGAGCAGAGGAGGAAAUCAAAGCGGAGCACAGAGGCCGGAGGAGAAAAACACAGAAAAAAAGGAAAAAGAGAAGUGACAGAUGAGAGGGGAGAGGUGACGUCUGGCUGAAAAGGCCAUUAGGACAAUCACAUCACAGCAUGUAAACAUGUACCUGUCAUCUCUGUGCAGAUAGAGUGCCUGCAGAUGAGGAUUACUCACCUCAUCAGGACAUGAUUCAUCAUCAUGUCGGCUCAGUAUCACAGGCUCCUCUCUGCAGAAACCCAAAUCCUCUGGGACUAAUUAAAGAUUAGUUACUGACGGGGAAGAAAGAGAGUUUCGUUCCCGCACAAACGCACAGAAGCAGCUCUGAUUGAAUCACAUCCAAACGCAGAUUGAGUUACAGGCGAGGGUGUGAGGACGUUAUAGCGUUCAGAAGCGGCAGAUGUGCAAAAAUAAAAAAAAAACAUCAACACUGCAUCGAUGACAGCAACCGGCAGAAGCAAUUUCUGACAUCUUGCUACGUCUCCUCGGGAAAAUAGAGGACAAACUAUGUAAGGAGGAGAAAAUUGGAUAUCCUUCAGGAGGAAAAAAGGAUGAGAAACAGUGAUUGUGAUUCCUGGAACGAUGCUGAGGCCAGUGAGGGAAGAGAGGGGGAAAAAAAGGGAAGGCUGUUUGGUAUCACAUUUAGGCUCAGUGGAAACUCAAUCGCUUCCUGUGAUGGGACGAGUUCGCCGAGAAAAGAAAAAGGCUGAAAAGUUUCAGGCGGUUUGCUGUAAUUGGACAAGUUCACAUCCAACAAGAAAAGUGCUGCAUCCCAAAUCUCAACUUCCAUUCAGUGUCGCAAGAAAAUGACCCGAAACAGCCUCCGGUUUGUUUGUAAGAGCGGAGUUUUCAGCUCACCUCUUUAUCUGUGACAUAAAUCCCGCUUUAAAAACACCCCCACCCAGUUUAACCUCCAAUCUGAAUCCGGAUAACAUCUCAAUGAAGGUAUCUGAUCUUCCAGGCUGACAUUUAUACCUGUGUUUGAUAAGACUCCCUGUUAUCUCUGCUCUGUGGAACAUGAUGGGAUCUCUACAUGCAGAUCAGAUAGAGGAGGAGAGCUGGCAGAGUCAUAAACAAACCCGGAGCGUCUUAGGUCAACACCUGCAGAGGAGGAGGAUCUGGAGGGGGGCCUCCGCUCUCACUCUCUUGUUUUCACCUUCCCUGCUGAUUCAUCUUUAAUAUCACACUCUGUUUUUGUGCCCAGAAAUGUUACAAGUCUGCUUCCAGUGUUAGUCUGAUAGAGACAAAAACUUAGGAGGAGUAUUAUUUGAUCUUAUUUCCCCUCUUUUGUGUGGGAUAAUGAUACAGAUCUAUUUAUAUCUCGAUUCAGUUCAGAUUGAUCAGAUUUUCACCUCAGGAUUAUCAUAGCUUUAAAAGUUUCUGUGAAAGUUUAAAAUAAAACAAAUUGAAGACAGACAAACCAAGUUUCACUGACAGAAUAAUCUCAUAUGGAUCUCUUGCAAAAACUCCACCGCAGGAGGAGCUUCAGAUCUGGCAACUCCGAAAAACAUCUCCAGACGCCCAGGCUCAGGCUCUUCACAGUGAGGGAUUGGUCCUUCUUCUGUAUUUCCUUUCACCUGCCGAAUGCUCUUCCUGAUCACCUGAGGGGCCCACAGACUACCGGAUCUUCACAAAAACAAACCGAGGAAGAGAGGGAACAAAACUUCCGUGCAGGAGAGAUCCCAGGACUCUGAGGGAUCCUGUAAGGGUAAUUCCGAAGCAGAGGUGUCUCCUGUUUCGCUGUUUUUGUUAGUUUGUUCAGGUUGUUUGUUUUUUUUUCCAUGAAGGUGUAAAUGUACUGAGUAGAAAGCAAGAAGUAGGAAGAGACAAACCCGCCUUUGGGUCGAGUUUUAUGUUUGCUCCACAGAAAAAAAGAGGACUUGAACACAAACCAGUGUUACUGUAACUACAUGUCAACAUCAAAAGCAGGGGGGAGAAAAAAAUAUAUUCUGUGUAAUAAACUUCUAAAGUUUGUCCACAGCUCCAUAAGCUUUGCUGGCAGAGGCGGGAUUUAUGACCUAUACUGCAGCCCGUCAACAGAGGGAGCUGUACUCGAAGUGGCUUCACCCAGCAAAGAGGCAGACGGUGUCCAUUCUAUACAAUCUAUGGUUGUGUCGUUUGUAAAUGAUUUGUUCAAAGGAAUUGAAUCUUUUUUAGUGAACGUACUGAACCAAAUCACUUCCUUAAAUGAUUUGUUUGUUUCUCACUUCAAUUGAGCUGGGCUAGCAGCUGGCGAGUGAGGGAACGCACUUGGUAAACUACACUCUCUGGAGUCAUUUUUGUCUGAGGGAUACACUUUCAUGGCAACCGUUGUUCCCUGUUGUUUUAACAACAACAAUAACUUGCGUACAGUAGGAUACAGCAUGUAACAAGUAAACGCAGUUUGAGAAAUGCGUGACUGUCCGAUCCUAUCAUUGCGGCAAUUUGCGAGGGAACGGUGCAUGUUUAGGGUGAAUUCUUCAUUGAAUGUAAUGUGGGGUAAACGUUCAGUGAACAAAUCACUCACAGAGCCCAAUUUACCGAGUAGACCGGAUAUAUAUAUGUUCACACUGCAGGCUGUUAAAUCCGAUCUUUUUGUGCGGUCGUUCACAUUACUACAAUGAAUGUGGCAACUAAUGUGAACAGAAUGCAUUCGUGAAGUGACCCGCAUGCGCACAAAGCACAAAUUGCUUUCUGCACCUGUUUGUGUUGUCAAACAAUGGUGAUGUUUGUUGCAUAUUGAUGACGGAUGAAUUGCACUGUUCACACUUACAUGAAAAAAUCAGAUAUGUGUCACAUAUGGUUAAAAAAUCGGAAUUGACCUGCAGUGUGAACACAGCCUAAAAGAACUGCCACGCCCAUCACUACUGCUUUAUGGGAUAAUUUGGCGUUUUAAACUUGCUUUAAACAGUUUCUCUGAACUCAAGUUAAAUCUCUGAGAAGUUUGUCUUCCCAGGAUUGAAGCAGAUCCUACCUCAGCCUCUUACUCUCUGAGCCAGCAGGACACCUGAUAGAGAGUGUAGUUUUUUAAGACUAGAUAUAAAGUAAAUCUGGACUCAGCUCAGAUGAAGCCCACAUCUAUCCCGUCCUGAGUUAUUGAUGAGAUUUGUAAGCAGAGCCUGGAGUCUGAGGGCCGUGUUCGAGCGUUUCGUCGUGCAGACGUGGAACAAAGACGAGAAGGGAAUGUGUUUGGGGGCUAAUGAUGACACAAAAGCUCUGGUGUCUGUUCCUCCCAAUUCACAGAUGGAUUUUCAGCUUAUUUUUGGAACAAAAGAUAAAUAUUUAAUAAGACUGAAAAACCCACAGCGUGAGGACGCGCUGGCGUCAGUUGCUUCGAGGUUUGGCAGGAAGCAAUAAUUCAUGAUAGCGUCUGUUUGAUGUUUGUCAUUUUUUACCAGGAAAAGCAGAGUUACUCUGCCGCUUUUCUUCUCAGAAGUUGAGAAUGAACCACCCGAAGAUCCUCAGGUUUAUUUCUUAUAGAUGUGCAGUGUGUCUACAGAGUCAGUCUGAGGAGUCAAACACGGAAACCACGGAAAUAUCAACAAGUGCUUUUACUACAUCUUAGAAAAAGGCAGGGUAGCAGGAGGUGACAUAAGGACCUGAAGGCAGACAGUAAGAGGGAAAGUUCAAGUCUGAUCACUGCAUUGCAAAAUCAAGAGCACAAAGGAUUACAGGCGGAUUACAAGGUGAAGGCAGAGAGUUCUGGCCGGAGGUCAAAUGAGGUAGAAAAAAAGUCAAGAAGAUGAGCUGACUGAUCAAAAAUGGAAUGUUUUUAUUAGAUGCCAAAGUUGGUGAUCGGUGAUGAGAGUAUGAUGUCAUUGCCAGAUACAGAUACAGCUGUUCUAUCAGAUGAGAGGACUUGUUGCUCAUUGUGACCUUCUUCUCCUCCAGGCAGGUGGAUGAAGAUGGUCCGGCAGCAGAGGUGGUAGUUUUCAGGUCCAGUGUCAAGUGUGGAUUAACCCUUGAGGAGCUCCACAGGUGACAUGGCGUGCAUUACUUUGUGUAUAAAAAAUUGAUCAGGUUCUGGUCCAUGUUUUCUGUCAUUAAACUGUGGUGAUUUUUUAAGGUCUCAGUAGAGGACCAACAAGACCUCAUUUUAUGCUGCGUUCCAGUUACCUCGAAAAUCUAAUGUCGGAGCUGGGAAUGACGUUACAGCCCAGUUGACGGCAUUCUGGUAAACAAGUCGGAAAACCAAGAUAGACGCCCUCUGUUAGCUGUUGUUGGUCAUUGUUUCCAAUUUUCAGCUGUUGUUAGCUGUUGUCAGCUAUACCAGUUGUAAACAAUGCAUAAACACAGUAUUUUACUCUUAGAAACACCAUGGCACCGUGUUCACAGUUAGACAUUGGGCACUAGUACAACAUAUUCCACUUAUUUAAUUUCACAAAAACAAAAAAUAGUGCGAAUAGAUAUAAUAUUACCAGAGCUUUCAAUGUUACUCUUUAAUGUUGAUGCACUGCACUGCCAUCUUGAAUUAUGACGUUGUCGUCAAGUUGGUGUUGGUGAGGAUCAUCCGACUUUCCAUGUCGGGGGCGUUCCACAUGAAUUUCUCACUCAGAGCUUGGAAAUUCCGAUUUUCGAGUACAACUGGAACGCAGCAUCAAGGUCCUUAAACACCGGGAGCGUUUUUUUCGUGCGAUUAUUUCGGUCAUCAAUUUUACUUUGGAACCCAUAUCCUGUCAAUACAAGCGUUCACAUCAGUGACGUUUUCCUGUCCUGCGAUAUUGAGGCUUUUUUUUUUUUUUCACAUCAUGGUCAAAUUUUCUAAAGUUUCGCAUACUGUGUGUCCACUUCUGACCAAUCAGAUUGCAUGUUGCAUGUCAGAUUCACCAGUAUAUCCAACAUGGCCGACCGGCUAAUUGUUUACGUGUCGGAGAACAGAGUGCUUUUUGAUAAAAAAACACAAAUAUUACAAAGAUAACAAAAUAACAGUUUGCUAAACGUCUUUGUUUUAUCUUUCAUCUGUGCUAAGUAUCUUUAGCUCGUAAGCUAACCUGUUCAGAUACAACAUACCAUAUGUAUUUUCACUGUCUCAAACUCAGUCGCGUUGCUGUCACAGCACCGUUAGGUCUCGGUUGUUACCUUACAUGCUAUCAUGACAGACAGACAUCUCAACACUAGUGUCUAAUCAGAACUGAAAAACAGUCAGUCUGGUGUUGUGUCAGUCUUCUCACUUCCACCUGAGAUGCGUCUUUUCUUCCCCCUUGGAAAGUCGCAAAAUCGCAUCACGUCUGAUGUGUAUGGUCAGGCGCGUCAAAAUUCGCCUCUGAAUAUUUCGUAAUUUCGCGUUGUAGGCUAUAUGAACGUCAUUCCCGGCGAGAAAGGACCUUUAGAGUCUAUCAAAUCAGAGGAAUCUGCACAGCCUUUUGAGAGCUCUUCAUUUUUUAACAAAGUAAAUCAUACUGUCAGCUUAGAGGAGUUACAGAGCUUGGUUAGUUGUAGAGUUUGUAAUUCAGUGGCAAUGUGCCUUUAACCAGGGGACCUCUGUGAGAUUCAGUUGUUUCUGUAUUCAUAUGCCAUGUUUAUAUGCUGCAGGAUUUUCCUGCUGCUCUGAUUUAAACAAAAUGUUGAUCCCUGAAAUCCAGCAGUCAUUUCAGGGAUGAGAGGUUUAUCUCCUCCAAAUCUCGCUGUGUUGUCAUUUUGAAGAUUGCCUCACAACAGGUGAGGUUUGAACAAUCGCGCAGUGGCUUUAUUUGUUUUCUGUUGGCGUGCAAAGGCUGUCUGAGCGAGAUGAAUCUUAUUUAAAAGAAACCAAGGGAGUCAGACAUGGUUUUUUUGUUUCCAAUCUGUCACAUUUCAGUGCUGCGUGUAAUUUUCAUUGGGGAUCCCUCUCCUCUGCAGCACACAUAAGCACACAUAACAACAUUUCAUGCUUGUACGCUGCAGGGCAGGCGAGUCUCUGAGGAGACAGACGCCGUGUCCUGACUAAUUUGAACAACAUACAAACUGAUUAUAAACAGGAGGCCGCCGGGCGUUCUCUGUUUUCAAUUUCAAUGCUCCAUCACAGCGUGGGAGCACGUAGCUGCCGCCUCACAGCGCCCUGCUUGAGUGUGUGUGUGUGUGUGUGUGUGUGUGAGGAAGGAUCAAUACAUAAACACAUCCACAGACUGACGUUAGCCACCGUCAGCUCGCUCUGUGCUGUUUAGGCCCCCGGACAGAGUGGGACGUCCUCCUGAUCAUUUCAUUGAUCAUGCUCAGCCUGGAAGUGCUGAGCAGGGCGCUUUGAAUAAUUAGCUGCAGCAGUCAUUAGAAGAAGUCUUUCACACAAAGAGCACAUUACAGACUGUGCAGCUUAUUUAGGUGCAAACAUUAACGGGGAUCAUUAGCAUACUUUGUGCUCAUUGUGCAGCUCUGUUUGGUUUGUAACUCAGCUGAUAAUCAGAACUUUGAAAUGUAUAUCAAUUUAACUCACACGCCGUGUUUCCCGUCUUUAUUGUGUGUCAUUAGUGUCUUCUUGGUAUCUUCUUUUACCUUCUCACUUUGGUCUCAGUGUUUUUGCUUAUGUUUGAACUUCUUCAACUUUUUUUUUUGCCUUUUUUAUUUUAAGAUAAUUUAAUCUUUUAGUUUAAUCUGCAUUUUGGGUCCUUUCCUUUUGUUAAAACUGUGAUAACUUUAACCUAGUCACUAAACAUGGUUUAUGUGUCAAUCCGAGAAGUGUUUCACUUUACUUAAACCACCAGAGAACAUGUUUGUUUUUGCACUAUUUGCAGAUACACGGUCCUUGGGGCAAAUUCUUACCUCAAAAAUGCUGAAAUGUCCCUUUAAUGCAUGGUGGUGACUGAUAAAAAACUCUCUCACAUUGAAUAUAUGUAGAAAAAGUUACUAACAUGGCUUUUGACUUAUUUUAAAAUGAAAAGAGACAUAGAGACUGCUUUAGUUUGUAGUCGUUUCUAGUCUGGUUUUACUUCCCUAGUUUUCCCUCCUUCGUUAAUCACUCAUGAGUUUCACCUGUGUCUCCUCUGCCUCACCUGUUGCUCGUUUACCGCUGUGUUGCUCCAUUGUUGCUCUUCAUUUUAACAAUUCCUUUUUUGUCUGCAUUUUUGGGUCCUUCUCCUUUGUUUAACCCUGGCUUCAUGACGCUCUUGACUCAAUAAUGGAACGCUUUUUCUUUUUUAUAUACUGUAUGAAUCAUAUUCAACACAAGCCACUCUACAUAAAUGCUCUUUUCACUCUGUAUUAUUGUCCUUGAAUUGGCUUCCGUUAUGCAGUAAACACUUUCAGCUGGCAUCAGAGGACUGACGGACCGUCUGUUCGGCCAGUGAACAGGGGUAUGUAAGGGUGACCAUAUUCUGAAUGCCCAAAAAGAGGACACUACUACGCAGGGCCGAAUCUUGGAGUCGCGUAGGGUAAAUUUUUAGGGUUUUUCGGGUCAAGUCGAGUGUUUUUUACAUGUUCUAACUCAGUUAGUCCAUGCUACACAAACUCUAAACUCCCAUAUGUAUGGUCGCCUUUGGUAUAUCUCAGUGGACGUCUUGUGCAGUACACCUGUCCUUAAGAUCUCAAACUGGUCAGAGAUGAUGGGCUCUAUUUUCGUGCCUCAAUGGCGGCGUGGUGCAGGCAUGGUGCAAGUACACCCUCCCCCAUCUCAGCCCCUUUUAUAUUCGUAUUUCUGUACAGUGUUGGCUUCCCUUGGUCACCAAAAGUCUUUUCGUACCUCUCAUUUAAGUUGGAUUUGAAUGCAAUAAGCGGAACCUGACUGCAUGUGCAUAUAAACUGCUAACUGCCUGUUUAUGUCGUGGUAAAUAUGUCAGUAGAUCCUUAGAUAUCAUACAUGCAUUUCUGCUGUUUCAAGCCAAAUUUAAGAAGCUUGAAUGCUGCAUUCCAGUUACCUUGGAGGUUGGAGCCAGUUGUUGUUCGCUGUUGUUAGCUGCUUUUAGUUGUUGUUCGCUGUUGUUAGCUGCUUUUAGUUGUUGUUAGCUGUUGUUAGCUGCUUUUAGUUGUUGUUAGCUGUUGUUAGCUGCUUUUAGUUGUUGAUAGCUGUUGUUAGCUACUUUUAGAUGUUGUUAGCUGUUGUUAGCUGCUUUUGGCUGUUGUAAGCUAUACCAGUUGAAAACAGCCCAUAACACAGUAUUUUACUCUUACACCAUAGCACCGUGUUCAAAGUUAGACGUUGGGUAGUACAACAUAUACCACUUAUUUAAUUUCACAAAAACAAAACAGAAGUGCUAAAAAAUAAUACAUUAGCCGACAAGUGCUUUCACUGUUACUCUUUACUGUUGAUGCACUGUGCUGCUGUCUUGGAUUAUGACAUUCUCGUCAAGUCAGGGUUGGUGAGGAUCGUCUGACUUUCCGAUUCCUAAUUCCGACUUAAGGGGGGUGUUCCAGAUGAAUUUCCAACUGGGAACUCAAAAAAUACAACUUCCAAGUAAAAAUGAAAUGCAGCGUAAGUCGAAGUGACACAGUCUUGAAAAUAUUGGUGUUGAAGUCAAUAAAAAACACUAUCUCCUCACCUCUGCUUACCUUCUUUGUGCAUGUCUGAAUCUGGGAAUUGGAUGCGCAGUGUGACUGUGAUUUAUAACCACACACUCUGCACAAUACUGCUGCAGCAGCUUCAGAAAUCAGAGUGACACAAUGUUUGUACAAGAAGUCAAGCAGAAGCGUCAAGUCUGGUGUUUUUAUCUCUUGUUUAAUGAGUGUAUUUUUAGUGGAGGUUCAGGAUUUGUCUCUGAGUUUUGACAUUAUUCUGUCAGAGCGGAGAAGCCUCUCUCUCUCUCACACACACACACACACACACACACACACACACACACACACACACACACACACACACACACACACACACACACACACACACACGCGCACACAAACAAACACAGCGUUACACACUCUGAGCAGAAUGCAGAUAACCUUUCUCUCUCUUCUUUAUAUUCCCCAGAGGAUCUGACCUCCAAAGGUUAGGCCGCUAUUCUGAAAAGCCAAGCCGCCGCUCACUGUUGUAGUUUUCUUUAAAAAAAAUGACAUGAGGCCUGACAUCGAGCAGUUUAUAGACAAAAUUGUGUAUAUGUGUGUGAAUGUAAAGCUGUGUAUUUUCUCCACUCUGACCUGAACACCUUGUUGAACAGUUAGUGAUAUUUUCAGUGUCUGUGGGGGCUAAUUUACCCUCUAAUUAACUGUCACAUCAUCCUGUUUAACUCAGUAACUGACACAAUAACACUGUAACUGAGAAAUAAAGCUCAGCUGAAUGUAAAAACUAAGAAGGUGAGAGUAGAGAGGACUGUGAGGUGUAGAAAUAGCUAGUUUUACAGUCUGUUUAAGGGCGGAAAAGUGUGUAAUGCACUUACUUUGGAUGUUGUCAGAUCUAACUGUGGUUUUAAGCAGACUGGAAACUCACAAUACUUGACAGGCAGGAGAGAGGACGGUGCAGUCAGUCUGAUCAGGGUAAUAUUGAGAAAAAGCCUUGAGUUGAGCUUUAUGCAGCUUCAGGACAAACCUGAACAGUGUUUGGAGAUCCAUCACAAAGAAAAUAGACAUUAGGGCUGCACCAUUCAUCGCAGUGUCUUUUUUGAUCUUAAGGAUAAACUACCACCAUAGACUGUACAUACUGUGGACAACUUUGUUCUGCCUUCCGCCAGUAUUUGAAGCCGAAAAGCUCUCAGUAAUUCCAUGUUUUUUCUCCACUUCCUACAACCAACAUUGUGCAGUAGCAUUGUACGCAUUCAGUGGGAUGCAUCUUCGUAUGCUGUAUCAAGUGUCAAUCAUAGAAAACAUGAACACCCUAAUAAUUUUUAAAAACGGAGCUGCACAGAAAAAAAGAGGACUUGAGCACAAACCAGUCUUACUGUAACUACAUGUCAACAUUGCAAGCAGGGGGGAGGAAAAUUUAUAUUCUGUGAAAUAAAUUUCUAAAGUUUGUCCACAGCUCCAUAAGGAGGGCUGGAGGAGGCGGGAUUUACGACCUAUACUGCAGCCCGUCACCAGAGGGUGCUGUUCUCGGAAUGGCUUCACCCAGCAAGGAGGCAGAUGCUGUCCAUUCUAUGUACAGUGUAUGACUACAGGUCCUUUCACACUGGGAGCAUUUUUUUCAUGCGAUUAUUUCAGAUACCAAUUUUUUUUUUCUUUCGAACCCGUAUCCUGUCAAUUUAAGGGUUCACAUCAGCAACGUUUUCCCGUCCUGUGAUAUUGCAGCAUUUAUUUUUUCGUAUCAUGGUAAAAUUUUCUAAAGUUUGGCAUACUGUGUGUCCACUUAUGACCAAUCAGAUUGCGUGUUGUUGCGACGUCAGAUUCACCGGUAUAUCCAACAUGGCUGACUGGCUGAUUGUUUACGUGUCAGAGAACAGAGUGCUUUUGAUAAAAGACACAAAUAUUACAAAGAUAACGACCUUAAGGACAACAUAGCAUCGGAUUUCUCAUAUGACGAUGGUUUGUGUGCUUUAACAGUUUGCUAAACGUCCUUGUUUUAACUUUCAUCUGUGCUAAGUAACUUUAGCUCGUAAGCUAACAUGUUCAGAUACAACAUACCAUAUGUACUUUCUCUGUCUCAAACUCAGUCACGUUGCUGUCACAGCACCAUUAGGUCUCGGUUGUUACCUUAUGUUUAUGGAUUAUAGUUUAAUGUGCUUAUCUGGUACUGGCCCCGACUCAGUACAUGCUAUCAUGACAGACAAACAUCUCAACACUAGUGUCCAAUCAGAACUGAAAAACAGUCAGUCUGCUGUUGUGUCAGUCUUCUCGCUUCCACCCGGGACAAGUCUUUUUUACCCCCGAAAAGUCGCAAAAACGCAUCGCGCUUGAUGUGUAUAGUCAGGGGCGUCAAAAUUCUUCUCAGAAUAUUUCGUAUAUUUGCGUUGGUCCCGGUGUGUAAGGACCUUACCACCCACAACAAAGACAGUUGGUUCAAUAUAAUCUUAACCUCUAACAGGUUGAGAUUAAGCUGAAGGUAGACCACAAAGUUAGCACCGGCCUAUAUCAGCUGAGAGCUCAGCCCCAAAACUGUGUUUUUUGCAAACAGCUUUGCAACCUGCCUCCACCCAAACUCCUCCUUUUUAUGCUGUGUAUGAUUUGACAACCGUCUGCCGGAUGGUGGACCAAUGCCUGCUCUGUUUUGUAGCCUACAACUGCUGCUCUCCCAGCCUUGACUUUUCAGCACAUUUCAGCACCCUUCCUUUUUUUUGCAUGCACAUAAAAACAAGACGAGGUGCACUCCCUGCCUUGGCCUUUCAUGUAUGCACACAAAGAGUGGGGAGGUGUACUCUACCUGCCUUGCUUUUGCAUGUGUGAGCAUAAAAUAGAUACACCCUAAAAAUAGAUGCUAACCCUCUGAACAUAGUAAAAGAUUUCCUUACUCAUUUUGAUUGAAUUCACCGUUUAGAGCUAAAAUUAAUUCAUGUUUACUCUGCUAAAUGGUUUGGGAUAAUGUCUUAAAAGAUUUUAUUUUAUAAUGACACUUUUGCAAAAACUAGAAGAUCAUACUGCAGGACAAACCCUCAGAAAGACUACUUCACUCUUUUAUUGUUCAGGUUUGCUUCUGCUUGCACACUGAAAAGCUUUUCCACCGCAUGUUAAGAUGAUGGUAUACAGGCAUCUAUUCAGGCAGCAUCACUUUGCAGAGAGCGUCUGCUUAUUCUCUCUCCAAGGACGGAGCGAUAGCACUGAUUAGAAAAUCGAGAAGAUGGAGGAAAAGAGCUUCUUUCAAAGCCCCGAAUGUGCUGCUCUUUAACAGCGUCCUCUUUUUCCUUCUCUUUGUCAUGAUCUCUCUCUUUUUUAACUAUUUCUGUGGAUGUGAGUAACGUGCAUGCAUUAGCCUGUGUGUGGGAGUGUUUGCAGGUUUCUUCCUCGCAGUGUGAGAGUGCAGAGUAAGUGUGAAUAUGCUGAAUUACAUCUGAUGCGUAGGUGUGUUCUCCGAGACAGAGAAGCGUGCAGUACCGCUUGCCGCCAUGUGGGGGAGCUCUGCUGCUUCUGCUCCUGUGUCUGCCUUUUUUUUUUCUCUUCUCCAGUUCUCCACCAAAGAACCUUGCUCUGAAAUAGAUGUGCUCCAGUCCCGUCAAGCGCUGUAACACAAUCACUUACCUAAGAGAUGUUACCGAUAUCCAUCCACACCGAGGAUAGGGGGGGGGGCUGAUUCUGCAGCCGACAUAAAGCAUCCUUGUUGCCAUAGUGAUCCUCCUCAUCUCAAACUGGACCUUGCAUCCACUCAGAGCUCACUUUGUCAAGGUGGAUGGAUUUGCAAACAGCAGAAAGGAUGAUGUGGAUUUGGGAGGGCGGUGAUGUCAGAGCGGAUGGAGGGAGGUGAUCAGCUGCGGCUGCUGUAAAAGAUCCUUAAAGGAGGUCAUCCAUCUUUUUUUUGUCUCUAUUUUCAGCCGUCUUUCUCUCUUUUUUCAACACCCAGGGAUUAUGCAGCAACUUGAUCCAUUAUUCAUGACUCAGCAAAAGUAAUAACACUUCCACCGCGGGCAGAGUCUCCUCUUUUUUGGGGUGUUUUUAUUCCCACAGGACCCUGUUUUCUGAGCUAUGGACUAUAAUUUACUGUACUGUGUAAAGGCAGGGAGCGAGUGUGUGAUAAAGUGCGGGUUCUGCAGGUCUGGUGAGGUGAGCGUUCUGGUUAGCAAUCAGUUCAGGUGUGCCACAGUGCCUGUUUGUGGUGCAGUGUGCUGUGAAACAGGCUCUUACACUCUGAGGAGUGAUGCUUUUCUUCGCUUUCAGCAUCUCCCUGGAGUUUAUGGAGGCUGAAGAAAUCUCAGGACACUGAAGAGGGAAAAUGUGACCCUCAGAAAUGCUUUGAAUCAGACUGGACUGAUCAAUGAGGCUGCUGCAGAGUGUUGCUGCAUAUUUAGAGGAGGACAUACAGCUACUUUGAUAAAUGCUAUACUGGGCUAAGGUCAGUUUUAGUUGGGCAGCUAUUUGAGAUUUAGGAUGAAAAUACUAUAUCGUUUUAGUCCUAUUUUGGUAGCUUCAGUUUCAGUUACUUUGGCUUGAUUUAUUUCAUAAGACUUCAAGACUGUGUGUUCAUAAAGAAGCAGAAUUGCAAUUUUACAACGGUCCCUAAAUGUGCCUGGGUUGACUGAUGAUGUAAAAACAUCCAGUUCAUUGGAGCUGCAUCUCCGUUUUUGAUCGUCUGGAGUUGAUUUAACAGUGGCCCUGAGGGGGAAAACACUAGGACAAAUCAGAAAAGACAACACACAAAAAAAGAAAAUAUAACACAAAAAGAGGAAACACAACAGAAAGAGAGACAACACAACUGCAAAUCAGAAAACACAACACAGAAAGACAAAACACAACACAAAAAUAGAAAACACAAGAAAAGUGAGUAAACACAAGGGCAAGGGCAAAUCAGAAAAGACAACACAAAAAAGAAAACAAAACAAAAAAAGAGAAAACACAACAGAAAAUCAGAAAACAACACAUAAAAAAGAAAAAACACAACUGCGAAUCAGAAAACAACACAAAAAUAGAAAACACAACAGAAAAAGAAGUACACACAAGGAAAAAAGAAAACAACACAAAAAGAGAAAAUGCAACACAAAAAGGAGUAAAAGCAAGGAAAAUAGAAAACAACACUAAAAGGAAAAACACAACACAAAAAGAGAAAACACAACAGAAAGAGAGAGAAAACACAACUGCAAAUCAGAAAACACAACACAAAUAGAAAAAAUACAACAGAAAAAGAGAAAACAACAGAAAAGGAGUAAACACAACGAAAAAAGAAAACAAAAAAAGAGAAAACGCAACGGCAAAUCAGAAAACACUACACAAAAAAGAAAAAACACAACUGCGAAUCAAAAAACAACACAAAAAGAGAAAACACGACAUAAAAAGGACUAAACACAAGGAAAAAAGAAAACAACACAAAAUGAGAAAAAAAGACAGAAAAAGGACUAAACAGGAGAGAAAAAAGAAAACAACAGAAAAAGAGAAAUCGCAACGGCAAAUCAGAAAACAACACAAAAAGAGAAAAAAAGACAGAAAAAUGACUAAACACAAGGAAAAAAAGAAAACAACACAAAAGGAGAAAAUGCAACGGCAAAUCAGAAAACAACACAAAAAGAGAAAACACGAAAGAAAAAGGGGUAAAAGCAAGGAAAAAAGAAAACACAAAAAGAGAAAACGCAACACAAAAAGAGAAAUCACAAUGGUUAAUGAUUUAUUUUCCGAUUUGCAGUUGUGUUUUCUCUUUUUCUUUUGUGUUUUCUCUUUUUCUUUUGUGUUUUCUCUUUUGUUGUUGUAUUUUCUCUCUUUAUGUCGUGUUUUCUGAUUUGCUGUUAUGUUUUGCACCUCAGGGCCACCGUAUGAUCCAGACUUUGAAACAUCAAAUAUCCUGUCCAACAUAUCGCCAAAGUAGCAAAAAUCAAUGCUUGGACACGGGGUGAAUGUGUCUUUGUUGCUGACAUGCAUUGUAAGAAAUUAUUGAUGGAAAUGAGAUGAUUGUACCUGAACGACACUUGUAAAGAUUUGUGCUCUAAGCUCCCAUUUAUUUGUGUAAAAUUUCCUGCACUUGGCCUGCCUGAACUAACACUUGCCUUAAUUUCUUCAAGCUUAGAAAACAGUGGGAGCAGCUGAUUUGAAACAGUGUGAUUUUCCCUGCAAACACUGACAUGCAAUGCUAUUUCUGAACUUAACACUCUGGUUCUUUCCCACUCAUGUGUUUUCUUCAACGUGUAAUUCAAAUAGACGUCCCACAGUCUGUCCUCAGAGUCAGCUGUCUGCACACUGAGUUUGUUUUUAUCUCCUCACCUCCACAAUCAAUACUUUCUGCUCGGCGCGCUCAAGAGGACACAGACGCUGUGUGUCAAAUAAAUAAGAAAACGACUGGAUUUACAGGCUAAAAGCCUGCAGGCUGCAGAAAUAACAGUGUACGUUCUGGAUGUACAGACGGAUACAGCCUCACUGUCACUCCUGGGUGCUUCACACAAGGCCUGUUUCUACAGGAGUAUUUAAAGUGAAUCACUAUGCAAGUUUAAUGUGGUUUUCUGCACAUUUCAUUUGCAUAACCUGCCUCUCUUCUCAUGCUCCUCUUAAUGCAUAUCUAAGUGGAGGCAUGCUGCCACUUUAUUUACUUUUAUUCUUAAUAAUUGACGUUUUUUUCAUCCUUGACCUUCAGAAUCAUUCAUCCACAAACACUGAGAGGAAUCUGUUAACAGGACCCAGCUGAUAUUUUUCUGUUGUGGUGCGAAAUCCCCCCCAAAAAUUUGAUCAAAUAACCAGAGCCUGAGGGUUUGCUGCUCUGCUUGAGUAGUAAUCCCGCCCUGCAGAGCGACUCAGAGGGCACGGCUGGGAUUUACUGAACAUUCAUUUAUUGUAGGUAACAGCAAAACUCAUGCAUUCAUUUUAAAAACUACACCACUGCUUAUAAAUAUUUUUUUUUCUUUUUUCCUGAGUUUGCAUGCUUUCAAUCAAAUAUAAGUGUGAGAGAUGUUCAGUUUGAUGAGUGUCAGUCAAUUUGUAGGAAAGCAUCAUUUAAGUUCAGGCCUUGUGUAGAUUCUCCACCACAACUAAAAGGUCAGAGUCCAAACUUGGUCUUGGAAACUUGAACCUUUAGAUGAACUGAUUGAAUCUUAGCAUGAAGUUCAUAAAACAUGCACACAUUUUUUUUCACUUACAGCCAAUAUCAUAAGAAAUAACACAGAAUCUUAAGUCUAGGUUUUGGUUUACAAUGCAGAACAUGUAUGAGCGGGAGUGAAUAUUUCUGAUGGAAGAGUCCUGACAUUUUGCAGGAGCACGGUCUGUGUGGACGAUCUCAGUCCACUGUGGUAAUCUAACCUGUGGUGAACACGCUGACUCUGAUUAAACAGUGACUUCACUUUAAUCAGUGAGUGCAUUAACAUGGAUUUGAGUGUUUGUUUUCAGAUACUGGGAUAAGCCCUGAUCUGGAUUUUGAAAACCUGAUUUUGCUACCUGGAGAAUUCUAGCUGCUGACUUCUUGCACAGGUACAAAAUGAUGUGUCAGCAAAACAGACAUAAAAAAAGAGUUUUGUCUUGAUAAUAUACUUUUUAAAACAUUUAGUUUAUCUCAUCGUAACCUGACCAUUGAAUAGUACUGUUGACCUCAAUUAACUGACACAGUGAUGAUUUUCUACAGUAAUGGAGGAAGUGUGGAAUUCAAAGCUGACCUGAGCACACUCUCACUACACCAAACAUCUGACAAGGUUCUUGUGCAAUACGAUACGAUACGAUACCAUACAAUACGAUAUGAUACAAUACGAUACGAUACAAUAUGAUACGAUACAAUACAAUACAAUAUGAUACGAUACACUUUAUUGUCCCCUUAGGGAAAUUUGUCUUGGACUCCAAGAGCUGCACAGAUAAAGCUGCCAACUGAUGACACAAAGUACUAGACCUAACAAAGAGACAAUCACACAACCCAUGCACACUGCACAUACCCAUAUUGCACAAGAAUCCAAUAGAAAUGGCCGAAAGAAACGCAAUGACAAUAAACAACAAUGACAAAGAACAACACACAGCAAGGUGAGACAAGGCAAACAAGACCAAAAAGGAAAUGAUUGUGGAGGUUCUUUGAGUUCUACACCACAUACAGCAAACUGAAAACAAAACAAAACAAAAAAGAAAAAAACAAAGAUAGAGCUGACGCUAGAAAACAACUGUCUAAAGGUUCUCACACACCGGGAACAACGCAAAUAUACAACGCGAAAUUACAAAUUAUUAGGAGGCGAAUUUUGAUGCGUCUGACUAUACACCACCAUCAAGUGGGAUGCAAUUUUGUGACUUUCCAGGGUAAAAAAGACAACAACCGAGACCUAAUGGUGCUAUGACAGCAACGCGAUUGAGUUUGAGACAGUGAAAAUACAUAUGGUAUGUUGUAUCUGAACAGAUUAGCUUACGAGCUAAAGUUACUUAGCACAGAUGAAAGUUAAAACAAAGAUGUUUAGCAAACUGUUAAAGCACACAAACCAUCGUCAUAUGAGAAAUCCAACACUAUGACUCUCCACAAGUUGUCCUUCAGGUCGUUAUCUUUGUAAUAUUUCUGUCUUUUAACAAAAAGCACUCUGUUCUCCGACACAUAAACAAUCAGCCGGUCGGCCAUGUUGGAUAUACCGGUGAAUCUGAUGUAACAACAACACGCAAUCUGAUCGGUCAGAAGUGGACACACAGUAUGCGAAACUUUAGAAAAAUCAACCAUGAUCCGAAAAAAUUAACACUUGUAUUGACAGGAUACGGGUUCUAAAAAAAACCCGCUCCCGUUGUGUAAGGACCUUUACUCUUCAAUUAUAACUACUGUGGCAGGAGAGGAAGUACCAUGGUGGAGUCUCCUAUCACAGCCUGACAUAUUAAAAGGAGACCUGCACUCAGCUCCUGUAUUUCUGGCUCAUAAUGUUAAGACUUAGUUGUCGAACUGUUCAAUAACCUCUUGGUUUAAAGUCUUGACAAGUACGAUGCUAAUAUUAAUAAAACCACAAAAGAAUAAUAUUAUUGUUAAAUGUGUGGUGGUAGGGCGUUCCAACAAAAAGUUGGAUAUUACACUCAGUCACAAUCUGAGUCCACCACAGCAGGUCGUAAGUUGUUUCACUGAUAAAAGUGUGCAAGGCAAGUGUGGAAAACAGUCCACUUUCAAACGUCUUUGCUCUUGGAAAUAAAAGCCUUCACUUAAUGUUUUUAUUUGGUUAGGCUACAUUAUGGUUAUUCAAAAAUACUAAUUUCAAGCUCAACAAGGUCACCUGAGAUUCAGAGGCAGCCCUCUUCAGCUUGUUUUCUUUUCUAAUGGCUAAUGCAUUAAAUCUAUUCUGGAGCAUGUUUACUUAGACGCAUAAAACCUUUGCAUCAAACACUCAAACCUUCAAGAUAGUUCGAUUUGCACUCACACAAACCCUGAGUGGAGCUUUCAUGCAAAAUUUCACUCUUUAAUGCUGCAACUAAGUGAUUUUGAACUGCUUCUCAUCCAAAACCGAGAGUUUUAAGAUGUCAUUUCAGAAUUGGGCAAACUGAAAUUAGCUUGUUCCUACAUUUUCACAUUAUCUUGUACGUGUUUUAGAGAAUGACUGCUAUUACUGCUGCGUAUUGUACUCAGAUGUGUUUAUAUUUGUUUGCAUGCCACAGCCUUUGUGAGCGUCGAGUAUUAUGAAACCGGAGUUGCAUUUUUUGUCGUGCACAGAUUUAGCUGAUAGCUCUAAUCCUGUUACUUUAUCAUCAAACAAUAACCUGAUUCAUCAAAAACAUCAUGAGUUUUUUUAAUGUGUUGAGUUCCGACUAUCUGAAACAUGCAGGUUUUUUUUGUGAAGCUGAAUAUUGUACUUGAGGACAGACACAUCUGAGCCGCUGUUCAUCACGACUGGAGAGCGGUGGGUGGAGGAGGUGAUGAGUAACUGUGCUGCUCCGUCAGCAGCUCCUGAGUGAUGCUCUUAAAGUCGCUCCCAGGUGUUGGUGUGUGAGGGCAGACAAAACGGCACUUCUCUCUGAAUAAACUCACACACUUCUGUUUGACGUGCUCCAAACCAGGACGUAGAGAUGUGCCAUGGGCGUGCAGGAGGUGGGGAGCAGCUGAAGGUGUCCUCCAUCUUUCUACCUGCAGCUAAAGGCCGCUCUGUGGGAGUAAUGAGCCACAUUAGGAGCAGCUGCAGAUAAAAACGCCUCUAAGAUUUUAUCAGAGUGAGGAGCUGCAGAUCUGAGAUGCAGAAUAAACCCUGCAGCUCUGCGCCCCUGUGUGUGUGUGUGUCAGGUGAGGUGAGUCUCCUUUAAUCUCUGAUUAAGUCAGAUCAUUUCUGCAGACAGAGCCGACCAUCACAGCUCACACUGAUAUCAGAGCAAAGAUCAGCUCUUAAGGUGGACUUAAUUCAAUAUUGAUCAAAGAUUUAAGGUCUGCCUUUUAAGUCAAUGCAGGAAAUUUUAUUUUAAGGUUCCCUUAGGUGUUUUCAAUUCAUCGAUUGGAGUCAGUGUCCAAAAAGGAAAACUGCACGAUCUGCAGAGUUUAUUUUUAAAGAAAAACUGUGUUUGUUUUAUUCUCACCUGAGCGAACAGAAAACAUACCUGCCCUGAAAACACGCAUAGAAAAGACAAAUAACUCACACCUUUUCUUCAAAUUCAAAUUUGUUUACAAGUUGAAAUUAUACUAUCCAUCCUUUCUUUUAGCAAAGCUAAUUAAUGGUCACAAAUUAAGUAUUCCCUGCUAUAUCCACACAGAUCAUGAAAUAGUCAUGAAGAGUCAAGUAUAGAUCUGUCUACGCUGGCAACUUUCCGAGCAGCUCAGCUCAGCCCCCUUGGGAGAAAUUGCUUUGCACACAGAAUGUUAGAGCACAUUACUGAGACAGACUUUAACAAUGCCACUAGACAGCACAUAAUGAGCAUCAAAAUAAAACAUUUAAAAAGUGCAUUUGGGAACAUUCUAUGGUAACUCCAUAGUUUGCAGGCUAAAAGUUGCUCCAAAAGUGCAAGGAUGCGCUGAAAACAGCCAAAACUCAGACUCAGUAUUUAUUCCCUGUCAUAGAAAACACCUCAACGCAAGAUGACAGCUGAAACAGAUGUAUAACAACUCUAAGAUCUUAAAAAAACCCAGCAGAUACCAAUUAUCUCAGCUGCAUUACCACUACCUUCUGCACCGGAUGUUACAUGAGCAUGUAAUUUGAUAGCAGGCCGAGAAAAGCUUCAAGUCUGACAGAGAUGAACACCCCUUACAGAGUUUAUUUGGAGUACUUCAGAGACCUCAGGGAUUCAACAUGUUAACUCUACUGAGUUGAGCUCAAUGCUGUUAAAUAGCUGUUUGUCAGGUGAGUUGUUAUAAUAGUUACUUUGACUUUUGGCUUAAAUUAGUCAAAUAUAAUUUCUUUUUAUAUAUAUUUUUUUGGUAGUUAAGGUCCACCGGGAGCUUUUUUUUCGUGCGAUUAUUUCGGACGUCAAUAUUUUUUUCGAACCUGUAUCCUGUCAUGACAAGCGUUUACAUUAGCGACAUUUUCCUGUCCUGCCAUAUUGCAGCUUUUUUUUUUUUUUAAGUAUCAUGGUCGAUUUUUCUACAGUUUCACAUACUGUGUGUCCACUUCUGACCAAUCAGAUUGUGUGUUGUUGUGACAUCUUAUUCACCAAUACAUCCAACAUGGCCGACAGGCUGAUUGUUUACGUGUCGGAGAACAGAGUGCUUUUUGAUAAAAAACACAAAUAUUACAAAGAUAGCGACCUGAAGGACAACUUGUGGAAAGUCAUAGCGUUGGAUUUCUCAUAUGAUGAUGGUUUGUGUGCUUUAACAGUUUGAUAAACGUCUUUGUUUUAACUUUCAUCUGUGCUAAGUAACUUUAGCUCGUAAGCUAACCUGUUCAGAUACAACAUACCAUAUGUAUUUUCACUGUCUCAAACUCAAUCUCGUUGCUGUCACAGCACCAUUAGGUCUCGGUUGUUACUUAACGUUUAUGGAUUAUAGUUUAAUGUGCUUAUCUGGUACUGGCCCCGACUCAGUACAUGCUAUCAUGACAGACAAUCAUCUCAACACUAGUGUCUAAUCAGAACUGAAAAACAGUCAGUCUGCUGUUGUGUCAGUCUUCUCGCUUCCACCCGGGACGUAUCUUUUUUCCCCCAAGGAGUCGCAUCGCGCUUGAUGUGUACAGUCAGGCCUGUCAAAAUCCGCCCUUGAGUAUUUCGUAAUUUCGCGUCGCAUAUUUGCAUCAUUCCCGGUGUGUAAGGACCUUUAGAGUUAUAAUACGCUUAGAAUCCUGCUUAUAUCUCAAACUAGCCAAAUUAUGUCCACCUGACCAUUUAAUCUCACAUGAUCUAACCCAGAACUGAAUGACAGAAUUGUUGUUACUAUGAUAGAAUUUAGGGGUCCAGGUGACAUAACAGGAACCUUAGUGUGGUCUUAACGACAUGAUGGAGGAUGAAACAAAGGAGACUGUCACAUCUCCUGAUUAGUUAAGUACUGUUUCCUAUUUUUUUUAUAUUCACCUUUGACUCUUGUAUCAGGUUCAUUACUUCCUCCUCCUUGUGUCACCUGCUCCCCUGAUUACCCUGAUGUGUCUCACCUGUGUCUCGUUAACUCCUCUGCCCUGGUGGAUUUAAACCCAGCUUUCCCUCCCCUCUGUUUCUGUAUGUCUUGUCUUUAGUGUCAGAGCUCCAGCAUAUAUUUCUAGUGUUUGCCUCAGUGUUUUGACCUCAUUUUAGUUUCUAAUUUUAGGACUUGUAUACAUGUAGCCGGGUAUUUUUAUGAACGAAUAUCCAAUCCCUGCUGUUUAAAAAAAAGAAAAAGUCAUGUACACAAAUCAUCGUUUUCAAAUAAAAUCCCAUCCACUCAAAACGGUGUAAGUGUGCAAUUGACCUCGGUUAUAAGCAUGCUAGUAUUUGCCAAAAAGUGAGAUCCAUUUUAUUCAAUUAGAGCAAGCUUCCCUUUCUAGUUGUCACUUCUCCAAACAUGAAACAUAGCGCUGUGGAGUUCGUUCAUGUGGACCAACAAAGAGGCAAAAUUGCUUUUCAGCAUCGUUUUGGAGUAUAAAGUCAACAAGACACAAGAAAGGUGAAGGGAGGGUUAUUUGGUGCAGGAAACUGACUCCUUCUCCUUUGCUCCUCACAAAAAUAUAUAUUCUGUAUAUAUAUCUGUGCUGACAUAAACAAGGGCCCAUCGUAUGGACACUGACGUUUGGGGAUUGGGGACACACAAACGCAAAACCAGAGUUUUCCAAAAUCUUCACUUUGGCUGGAGUUUUUCAAAAGCACAGUUUUUUAAUGACAUGAUCUUGCAGUUUCGUGUGGAUGGCAAACCAAAGCAUAUAAAAAUAUAUUCAUUUUAGCAGCAAGGCCUUAGCCUCUCUAGCCUGUCAAUUUGGAUCCUGUGUACUGACUGUUUUUUGAUUAAACAGACUUUGAUUUUGCCAGCCUGUGAGUUUGCAUCUGGGUCUUCAUUUGGUUCAGUGUUACAGAGAUCUGCACUGUGAUGAUAUUUUUAAAAUUUUUAGCAGUGUAAACACAAAUAUUCUGUUCCAAAAAAAAAAAAAAAGAAAUAAAGUUCCUCGUUCUUCAAUCUCAGCUGUUUUUUUUAUCCAUCCUGCUUAGCAGUCGGAGAAUAUUUUUUUUGGCAGAAAAAAACUCCAGGAAAUGUUUACGUGAAAUUUUCUAAAUUUUCAGGAGUUUUGUUCAUGUGUGAAUACAUAUUUUAAUAUGUUUCAAUGAACUGUUGAAGCAUUUUAUUUGACAGCUAAUCUGAUUUAACAGACAAACAUUUCUUUUUGGUGCACAUGUAUUCCUUUAUUUGAUAAUCUUUUGCGUGCAUGACUCUUAAAAAGCCACUUCAGCGCAGCUUUUUAACCUCUGAAUAGAAAUAUAUCUUUAAAGCUUUGCUUGAAUACACAUAUUUACUCAUUAACCUUAUUCAAUUAACUCCCUCUCUGAGUCCACACAAAAUCUGACCGGGUCAGAUAUGAGCAGCAUCUGGUUCAUCUGUGAGCUUCAUAAUGACACAUUAACGAGCUCAGUCACAGCUUUAAUCAGCCGCUCUGCAAACUCUGAUGAUAUACAAUUAUGUAAAGACCCUUCCUCCGCUCAGAUGUGGAGUUUUUAAUAGCGAUGCUUAAUGCUCUCAUUAGCAGAGCGCUCCACACCCACACAUGCUCUGUAUGCACAUAGUCACAGAGAGAAGGUGACUCCAGCAUGCUAAUUAGAGAGUGCAAAGUGCUUUUUAAACUAUUAUUGAUGUUUUAGUAAUCGUUACUGCGCUUUGAUUCAGUCAGAAAAAAAGAGGCUGCAGAGGAUGUUUUUUCCUGCACAAACAUAUCCUACUGAGCGAUGAUGGCAGCAAUAAUUUAUGCAAACUACGCCCUCUAUAAUUACCUCAGUGGACUUGUGUUUGCUUUGUUAUCAUUUUCCGCUCGUUGUUACACUUGCAAAUGUGUGCACAGAGAGGCAGAGUGAUCUUUCAGCGGUGUGACGCUCAUGUUUCCCCCUUCAGGCCUUGUGUCCCUGGUGUGGGAUGCAAAUAGCCGACUGAAAGAAACUCUGACAGAGAGGAAUCACAGGGUGCUGUGAGCAGAGGGGCUGCAGGGCGUUCAGUGUAUCAAUAAUGAGGGAUGGGAUGCGGCUCGUUCAUGUUUGGGCUCCAUCUCAGGGGUGAUUCUAUGGAAGAAGAAGCUGCAGGAUUCAUGAGGGAUGCCCGGGCUCAUGAUCUGCCAUGUUUCUGUCUCCUGCUGGUGAUUGACAAACGCUGACACGCUCAACCUCUGACUGUGUAUUAAGAUGGAUGAUGCGUCUCCAGCUCCACCUGUUGCACUCCAGAGAUGCCAAAAUCCAACUAAGGCAAGACAGGGAGAAGCAUCCUGCACUGACUGUGGAGUCAGGGUCUGCACAGAGGGGAUCAGCAGAUGGAGCAGAGGUAAAGAUGUGUCUGCUAUGAUGCCACUCACUAUGAUGGACAGGAGGAGACAUAAGGAUGCUAUGCACUUUAGACUACACUAAUAUUCAAGGUGUGAUCGAGAGCCAAAGAAAUAGUAGAAAGCAACAUAUGUAAACAAAGUACCAACUGGUAACUCCUUCAGUGGGUAAAAUGCGAACAAAAUGCCCCUGCUUAUUCUUUUAAUGGAUAAUCUGUAACCAAAGUGCCCUCUGGUUGCUCUUCCACAGGCUAGUAUGUAAACAAAGUGCCCUCAACAUGCCCAAACAGUGUAUAAAACAUUUCAAAAAGCGUUCUGUAGUUGCCCUUUUUUAGAGGCUAAAAUGUAAACAAAGUGAACUCUUGAUUCCCCUCAAGUCAAGAAAUUGUUUUAAAAAAAAGUGCCCUCUGGUUACUUGUCCAGUGCAUUAAGUGUAAACAAAGUGUCCUCUGGUUGCUCUUGUUCAGUAAAUCCAUCAUUAACAAAGAAAGCCCUCUCAGUCGCUCUAUUGUAACCAAAGUGCCCUCUGGUUACUCUUUCAGAGGCUAAUAUAUAAACAAAGUGCCCUCUACAUGCCCAAACAAACAUUUAAAAAGUGCUCUGUGGUUGUUCUUUUGUAGUGGAGAAGAUGUAAACAAAGUGCUCUGUGGUUGCUCUUGUAAAGUAUUAAAUGUAAACUAAGUGCCCUCUGGUUACUCUUUCAGUGGCUAAAACGUAAACAAAGCACCCCUUACAUGCCCAGACAGUGUAUAAAAACAUUUCAAAAAGCGCUCUGUCGUUGCUGUUUUUUAGUGAAUAAGAUGUAAACAAAGUGCCCUUUGGUUGCUAUUGUUAAGUAUUUAAAUGUUAACCAAGUAAACCACUCGUACAGAGGCUAAAAUGUAAACAAAGCGUCCUCUUGAUUCCCUCCAGUCAAGAAACCGUAAAGAAGUGUCCUCUGCUUACCCUUUCAGUGCAUUAAAUAUAAACAGUGCCCUCUGCUCAUUUUUCCAGCACAUUUAAUGUAAACAAUAUGCUCUCUUGAUUCCCCUCCAGUCAAGAAAUGAUAAAAAAAGUGUCCUCUGCUAACCCUUUCAGUGCGUUAAAUGUAAACUAAGUGCCCUCCGGUUAAUUCCAGUUGAUUAAAACAAAGUGCACUAUCGAAGCCUCUCCAGUGUACUGAAUGCAAACAGUCUUUUCUUAAAGCAGCUGACAGUUCACUCCACAUGAGCUGUAAAAUGUAUGUGCCCUCUCUCAACAAUAAUAACGCUGAUAAAUCUUGUAACUUGGAUUUCAGACGUGUCCUCAAAAGUUACACGAACUGUACCUUGGGUUAAAGUCGAUAAAUAUUAAAAGUUGAGUUGCUCCUUUUUAAGAGGAUUUAUUUAUAUUAAUAAGACACUUUUCUGUAGCUUCGGUCUGGAGCAGGAUUGUUAAAUGGAAUUAAAAUACUAAACAAGACCUCGAUAAAGCAGCCACAGGCUAACAGUUGUGUCCUCUUGGUGCUCAUUGAGUGUUAAACAGAUUGAGUUCACCUGAGCACAGGAGCAGAGAGGUCAAAUAGAGAAAAAUCUCCUCCGGGACUCAGAGUGAAGGAGUCAGCUGUGUGUUUCUCUGUGUCUGCGGGCUGUUUGUCUGCCAGCCGAGCAGCAUCUGAUCCCUGUGACAGGUUCACUCUGCCGCUUGCAUUCAGGAAAAACACAGAGCGAUGCCUUCAUAUUUACACAAACAGGCCCUGUUUCCUAUUUCAGCUCGGCGUGUCACAUGUCAGGGCUGGUUUUUAGUGUCAGGAGAGCAGCAUGGAGAGGAGCGGAGACAGCAAUGACAGGGUUUACCGUUCAGGGGGAGACAGGAAGAGUCCUGGGUGUGAAAACACAGGAGGAGAACUGUGACUGCUGUACACCGCUGCUGCCAUGAAUGGACGUUUGCAAUGGUAGAUACUGUAAAAAAAAAUACAGGAAGAUAGUAUUUGUGACCACACGCAUUCAGUACAUUUUAUAUAAUUUUAUGGCAACCACUAACUCUUCUAAGUCAGUGCUCUCCUCUUUCUCAGCUUUUAAUAUUUCACCUCCACCUUCAUCUUUCAGCUGUUAUUCAUCCCCCUGUCACCGACACAAGUCACACCUGCAGCUUGAAAUGUGUUCACCCUGCCUCUCACCAUUUUUCUGGCAUGCAUGCGAUCUGGUUGUACUUUUCAUCAGUAGUACAUUUUAAAAAGACGCCCAAUAAGACAGCUUUUAUUCGGAAAUGCGUCACUCGAUACGUCACAACAGGUGAUGUGUACAGGUUUGUAAAUGACAUUGCAUGCUGCGGGAUUGUGCAGAGUGAAAUCAGCGCAGAUGUAUGUAACGCGCUGUUAGUUUCCCAAAUGCUAAGUGCGGAAUACAAUGUGGGAUUGUCCAGUGAAUGGAAAAUUGAAAAAUGUACAAAUGGUUGGUGAAUACUUCCAAGUGCAUGCAUGGUUUGAAUGAGGAAAAACCUCAUGAGCAAGUGACUGUGUGUAGGUUGCGCCCAUGGGAGUAGUAGUGCUGCAGCAUCACAUUGUUAUUCAUUUGUUAUUUCAAAUGCCUUUUGUGAAGAGACUAAUCCAACCCUUCAAAAGAGACUGUGUUACUUGCUGUUUGGCGGGUUUGUGGGUGUUAAUGUCCUGAUUUUGUUGCAGGAAGAUUUGAAGGUCUUUAAAGGUUAAAAAAAAACAGCGAUCGAGAUAUCUAUAUCCAUCUACUAUCAGCUCUAUUUGUGCUAAAUCAUAGAGAAAAUGGAGAGAUAUGUCCCCAUGAUGGCCUUGCUUUGAAAAUUACCUGUAAACCACAUGGCUAUGAAAGAUAAUUUCCACCGACGGUUGUUUUUGGUAAUAGAUAAAUAUCGCUUUCCAGAUCUGUCCUGAACUGAAACGGCAGAAAAUGAAGCCAUUAAUGAUUCCUGUAUCCUGUAGCUAAGUGAAAGGGCGUGCCCACAUAACAACAGAGCUUCCUGUAAAUUGCUGUGGUAUUGAAUUUUAAAUCACUUCUUAUUUGCGAGUCCUUUAGUCCAGUUUGUCUCCGUCUUCACUGAUUGAGUAGCUUUAAGGAGUUCUUAAACGCAGCACAGAAGUACAUGAAAGCUCGGGAACAUUAAACAGAUCUCAAAAAGAAAAUUUACCUUCAGAUAUUUCUCUCUGCUAUAUUACUCUACUCCAUGCAGCUCAGUGCAGUGGAGGUUUCCUGGUAAUGUUAUGUCAUUUAGCUGUUUUUCUGCCUCUCAGAGUGAUACUGGCUAAAACUGUAAUGCUUUCCUGCUGCUCUCUGUCUCUAAUGGAUUCCUCUCUAUAUGAUUUCUGCUGUUUGCUGCAAACUGGCAGAAGACAGAUGCAGACAAAAGACUCACACAGAAGGAAAAUAGCACAAACACCAUUUAUUUUACUCUCACUGUGGAGUACACUGUGCUCUCAGAGCAGCAUGGAGGACACUCAAGGUUCAUACGCUCCCUUACGGAUACAUCUGCUCCUGUGUUUCCAGUUUAGGUUCAGGCAGACGACAGACCUUCAUUUAAUAACUUAUGGGUUUGAAAUAAAACGGUAACAACCAAGAUGGCUACUGCUAAUGCUGAACAUUAAAAUCUGUAUCAAAAUUCUAGAAUUAAAUCAUACAGUGGGUCAUGUAUAAAGGUCCUUACACAUCGGGAACAACGCAAAUAUACGAAAUAUUCGGAGGCGAUGCAAUUUUGCGACUUUCUGGGGGGAAAAAGAUGCGUCCCGGGUGGAAGCGAGAAGACUGACACAACAGCAGACUGAAUGUUUCUCAGUUCUGAUUAGACUCUAGUGUUGAGAUGACUGUCUGUCAUGAUAGCAUGUACUGAGUUGGGGCCAGUACCAGAUAAGCACAUUAAACUAUAAUCCAUAAACGUAAGGUAACAACCGAGACCUAAUGGUGCUGUGACAGCAACACAAUUGAGUUUGAGACAGUGAAAAUACAUAUGGUAUGUUGUAUCUGAACAGGUUAGCUUACAAGCUAAAAUUACUUAGCACAGAUGAAAGUUAAAACAAGGACGUUUAGCAAACUGUUAAAGCAC